UGGAGGACACUGAGUCUGUAGGGACACUGAGUCUGUAGGGACACUGAGUCUGUAGGGACACUGAGUCUGUGUUCUACUCUGUUAUUGCCAGUCAGUCAUGGUUUGUAUCCAGAAUCAGGUCUUCACUAUCUGGAAGGGACACUGAGUCUGUAGGGACACUGAGUUCUGUAGGGACACUGAGUCUGUAGGGACACUGAGUCUGUAGGGACACUGAGUCUGUUAGGGUCACUAGUGUAGGGACACUGAGUCUGUAGGGACACUGAGUCUGGAGGAUACUGAGUCUGUAGGGACACUGAGUCUGUAGGGACACUGAGUCUUAGGGACACUGAGUCUGUAGGGACACUGAGUCUGUAGGGACACUGAGUCUGUAGGGACACUGAGUCUGUAGGGACACUGAGUCUGUAGGGACACUGAGUCUGUGUUUUUUCUCUUUUAGAAAAUGAAGUGGUCAACCUAUUGGUUCAGGCUCCAAAACACAACAUUAUUCUUCUACACUAAGAAACAUGGGAGUGCUGUGAGUAUCAGCUGUGAGAAGUCCUCCAACGUUUUCAGGGGAAGUUGAAUGUUAUUUACACUGUUCAAAGUAGUAAUAGUCUUCUGAUCUUCUCUGUCCCCCACAGUCACACCUAAGAGGCCUGUACUACAUCUACACUGUAAGUCAAACUGAUUUCAUUUGGUCUGAAAGCCUUCCUGGUCCUUCUAGCCGGACAGACAGGAACAAUUGCCCUGGACUUUGUUCUACUUUCCCUUGUGUUCAAUGAGCAUUACCCACUAUUCCAUAUGCCCUAGUUACAGCUGCUUAAUAGUAUACUAUUUACAAGUAUGUAUAGCACUUUAUGUCUGAAAUAGAAGUGUUGUUGUUGGGUCAGGUGCAGUCUGUGCGUGAGAUCCAGAGGGAGAAGCGUAAGCACUACGUGUUUGAAAUCACCAUGAAGAAUGGGAAGAGGAAAGUACUGGCUGCAGAGACAGGGGAUCUGAGGAGGGAGUGGAUUGGCCAGCUGUGGAGGGCCAUGCAUCUCUCGGGCCCAGGGGGUACAGACCCAGGCUGCAUACGACAGCAGGAUGUGAGGUCUGAUGACCUGAAGGCCAGAGGUCGCUUCAGCACCUAUAACAGCUCCGAAUGUGACAGCAUGAUGGAACCACUGGGGGUUCAUCGACCCCUCUCUGCACCCCUCAACCCCUCCACCCCUGACCAAGACCUAGACCAGGGACACAGGAUUACCCACUGCCUCUCUGGCCCCCUCACCCCUGACCAAAAUCUGGGGCACAGGGCUACCCUCUCUCUCUCCCUCACUGACGAGCUCAGUAAUGAGGAAGCCAUAUACCAGAACACCAUCUCACAUUAUGGAGAGGAGGAUGAAGGCAGUGUCCAUAGAUUUAGAAGGAGAUGUGAGGAGGAGAGAGAUGAAGAAGAGGAGGAAGAGUGUAAGGAGGAAGAGGAUCAGUAUGACAUUCUACCAGCCCCCCGGAACUCUGAGUAUCACWUCAACCAAUCAGAUGAAGACUUGACUGAUGGAGAGGACCUCUAUGACUUCCCACUGUCCAAUAGGAGGGCAAGUGACCGCCAAGGUGAGAUUAUGAAAAUGUUUAUUUUUCAAUUGAUUGGGUUUUAAAUUAAUUCAAUAUUUUUCAUUUGUUUACCAGCAAAUGUAAGUGUAUUUGGGUUUAUUUUCAUGCUCUAUCUCAGAUUAUAGGGAGAUGACAGAGAGCAUCUAUGACGUCCCCAGUUCCCUAAUGAGGAAAAUGUCUGAACACACACUUGGUGAGUAUGACAGCAGCGUUCUAGUUCUAAUUCUCUUUUCAUACAUUUCUGUUUUCUGCUAAUUUUAUAGACACACAAAUGUAAGGGUCCUUUCAAUCUAUAUCCUUGAAUAGCACGGUGUAAAGGUCAUUUACGAUUUAAUUUUUUAUUUAUCCUUUAUUUAACUAGGCAAGUCAGUUUAGAACAAAUUCUUAUUUACAAUGACGGCCUACCCCGGCCAAACCCGGACGAUGCUUGGCCAAUUGUGCACCGCCCUAUGGGACUCCCAAUCACGGCCAGAUGUGAUGCAGGCUGGAUUCAAACCAGGGACUUCAGUGACGCCUCUUGCACUGAGAUGCAGUGACUUAGACAGUUGAGCCGACAUAUGCAGCAUUUGCCGUGAAUGCAGUCUCUGCUAAGAAAGAAACAUUGCCUUUAAAUGUAAAUCACGCUGUAAGGCUGAACUCCCGCGAUACGGAUUGAAUAGAGCCCUAACAUAUCCUGAGAAUGGUAUACUUUUAUUUAAAGGAAUGUGUAGAACCAGAAGCAAAGUAGACACUAUUUCCCCCCUAUCUACCCCAUGAAAAUCCUAACCAGACUCAUCAUCAGUAUUAACAAAAACACGCACGUCUUUAUCCCUCACUCUCAUAGCAGAGCCUUACCCUGGAGGUGAGAUACUGGUGGAGGACAGGGGCCUCCUGGAUGACAUGAUGGCCAGUCUGGGUGGAGGGACRGUGGGCUGGAUAACAGGUGCUUCUACUGUGGAGCCCUACGGGCUGGCUCAUCAUGGCUCUUAGGACUGGUAUAUAGUAUAGACUCUGGAUAAUAUAGACUGAAUGAGUUUUCCUCAUUCAAAUUGUUCUAUAAAGCUUGACGCAUUCUGUUAGAGAUUUAAAUAUGUUUACAUUUUAUGAAAAAAAAUCUCAUUUGUCAUGAUAUUCUAUUCUAUUGACUUCUCUUUUAAUACAAUCUACUGUCAAGGAAAUACCAUAUUAAAUAACUAACUUCAUACUGUCAAAGUGUUCCACUUAGUAUAUAAUGUCAGGAGAGAGGUACUAUAGUAUUCAGGCAGACCCUAUCCUUCUUUUUUAGGAGGUAGAUCAGCUUUAAUACUGCAGAUACAUUGUGG
ensembl:lncRNA